CAAGUCCGAGCGGUACAGGGCGUAGCUUGCUACCCGCUGACGAGCGGCGGACGGGUGAGUAAUGCAUAGGAAUCUGCCCGGUAGUGGGGGAUAACCUGGGGAAACCCAGGCUAAUACCGCAUACGUCCUACGGGAGAAAGGGGGCUUCGGCUCCCGCUAUUGGAUGAGCCUAUGUCGGAUUAGCUAGUUGGUGAGGUAAAGGCUCACCAAGGCAACGAUCCGUAGCUGGUCUGAGAGGAUGAUCAGCCACAUCGGGACUGAGACACGGCCCGAACUCCUACGGGAGGCAGCAGUGGGGAAUAUUGGACAAUGGGGGCAACCCUGAUCCAGCCAUGCCGCGUGUGUGAAGAAGGCCCUCGGGUUGUAAAGCACUUUCAGCGAGGAAGAACGCCUAGUGGUUAAUACCCAUUAGGAAAGACAUCACUCGCAGAAGAAGCACCGGCUAACUCCGUGCCAGCAGCCGCGGUAAUACGGAGGGUGCAAGCGUUAAUCGGAAUUACUGGGCGUAAAGCGCGCGUAGGUGGCUUGAUAAGCCGGUUGUGAAAGCCCCGGGCUCAACCUGGGAACGGCAUCCGGAACUGUCAGGCUAGAGUGCAGGAGAGGAAGGUAGAAUUCCCGGUGUAGCGGUGAAAUGCGUAGAGAUCGGGAGGAAUACCAGUGGCGAAGGCGGCCUUCUGGACUGACACUGACACUGAGGUGCGAAAGCGUGGGUAGCAAACAGGAUUAGAUACCCUGGUAGUCCACGCCGUAAACGAUGUCGACCAGCCGUUGGGUGCCUAGAGCACUUUGUGGCGAAGUUAACGCGAUAAGU
rnacentral:rRNA from 1 species